GACGCGCACAGAUGGGACCUCCUUUGGACGUUUUUAUUGCUUAUUCUGAUAGGAAACGUUUAAUAGCCGAAUUAAAAUGAAAAUUUUUUAUUUGAGUUAUUAAUAAUGGUACAGUCCGCUUGCAAUUUGUCUAUUUCACAUGUACAAUACAAAAUUUGUGUCUUCACGUAUUAUAAUUUUGACAUAGUAGUAGUUUAAAAAAAUAUCUUUCUAAAAAGAUGCAAAAAAAAGUCAACAUUUUCGAGAUUAAAAUGGUCAUAACUUGAGCAAUGUUUAUAGUAGAAAAAUAAAAAUGUUACCUGCCGAUACCACUGAAAAUUACCAAUGCGCUGGUUUUAAAAACCGCGCGCACUUUCACGUGCGCGCGUGUGAAAAUAUAAAUUGAAAAUGUUUGCGGAGGAUGUCAAUCCAAGCCAGCAGCGUCAGUUCUUUGUACAGUCAAAGUUGACGCGAAACACUUUUUUGAUCUUUCCGUACGUUUAAAAUAAUUAUUAUUUAGCUAAAAUCUCCAUUACUUCUAUGUUCCAUUUAAUCUAUUACUUUCUCUUUGUCAUUUUAACUUGAUUCAUUUAUCAUAUUUCGAAAACUCUUGCUUAUGAUGAAAAUGUAGCCGAUAAAACCGUGCAACUUUCCGGAAUUUGACGUCGCAGACACAGGUCACAGACUUCGAACAAUGUUUAGAAUUCUACAAAAUAAGAAAUCUUUCUGAAGCAGUCCUAGGUGGAUGAAAAGAAUUAUGAAGCUUCUAGUAUCGAAAAUUGCCCUCAUCUACCGCUACAAGUGGAAACCAUUGGAAACCGUAAUCAGACCCGAUACUGCAACAUGUAAAAUGAAUCUCCUGUUUGCUCUGGAUUCAAAUGAAAGUGAUAAUUUUGAAUAAAGGGUUUACUACUCACUGACCUUUGUUUCGUGUGAUAGAAUUAAAGUCAGUCUAAAAACUGACUGUGAAUACUAUUAACGUUAUUUGUAAUGAACUUGAAGCCUAAAUAUUGUUUCAAGAGGGUAUUAUUGACGUAUUCUAUUGCGCUACUAAAACUAGAAAUUAUCGUCGCAACAUCUCUUUCGUUCUAGCUUCACUCAUUUUUUAAAUUAGGUUAAUGUGUACAUAAAAAUUAUAUUGUAUUGUAGAUAAAAUAUUCGGCUAUCGGAGUAUAAGGUCAAAAAGCAAACAAAACUUUUAACAAAAUAUGAUAUUCGCAAUUGAACUACUAAUCUUUGACGCGUAUUUUUUUAAAAAGUUGGUUAUGUGCGGAGUCUUUUAAUCAUAUUAACUUUAAAAUUCUACCAAUUUUUAUGAAUCUUUUACAGUAAUGUUUGCCAA